GGGGAAGAAAAGCGUAAAAGGGAGGGGGCUCUUCUAUGGGCCAGGCUUCAUUCCGGGGACCAUGUUCUUGACCUGACCCUCAAACGUGUCAGCAUUACCUCUCAGGAAUGGGGUAACGACGACAGAGCAGCAGAGACAGUCUACAGCAGGUCCCCUCCAUGGAGAACUCUCUCUACAUUUGGCAACACACCAUCCUCCUGACCUCUUUCACCUCUCUCUCGUUCCCUCUAUUCUCACUCGCUCGCUCUCUCUCUAUUCCUUUUUCUGUCUAUCUUCUUAAGUCUCUCUCCCUGACCCUUCUCAUCUCUAUACAGUACUUCUCUUCAUGCUCCCUGUCCUUCUUUCUGAUCUCUUGUUCUCUCUGUCACCUUUCUUUUCCCUCUCCAUCCUUCUUCUCUCUCUUUCCCUCUCCAUCCUUCUUUUCUCUCUCCAUAAACCCUUUCCCUCUCUAUCCCUCUCUUCUCUCUCCCUGAACCCUUUCCCUCUCUUCUCUCUCCCUGAACCCUUUCCCUCUCUUCUCUCUCCCUGAACCCUUUCCCUCUCUAUCUCUCUCUUCUCUCUCCCUGAACCCGUUUCUUUUCUAUCCCUCUCUUCUCUCUCCCUGAACCCUUUCCCUCUCUAUCCCUCUCUAUCCCUCUCUUCUCUCUCCCUGAACCCUUUCCCUCUCUAUCCCUCUCUUCUCUCUCCCUGAACCCUUUCCCUCUCUAUCCCUCUC